AAUAGGUUGGAAGCUGCCGUGUUGGAUCUGGUUGCAGAUGAUAGUGGUGGCAUGCAGAAACAAAAAUCUAGAUUCCACUGGGAUAAGAGGAGUAAGAAGUACAUCAAGUUAAACAAUGGGGACCAUGUGACAGCUAGUGGAAAGAUAAAGACAGAGGGUGGUGCAAAAGUAACAGCUAACAAAACUGGCAUAUACAAGAGGUGAAAAGAGCGGUCACACAAUAAAAUAUCCCUUAAAGGAUCCAGUUAUGAGGGCAAUGCUGAAGAAUCCAAAAGUUUUUCAGGUGAGUGCUUUAAAAUCAGAAACUAUUUGUAUUCAUUCGGGCUCUUGUUCUUUUGAAUUUUGCUGUUCUGUAAUUCUGGAGUCAACACAACUGAGAGAAGUCGUAGGUUUUUGUAUGUAAAUUGCUGACAGAUUGUUUAUAGAUUCUUCUGGGAGUGAGCAACUAUAGGAAACAUUUGGCCUUUUUUUUUUUAACUAAAUGAAAUAUGUGUUUUGACUUGAAACUUUUGACUUAUUUUGUGAAGAUACACCUAUUUUUGCAGAAAUCUUGCAAUUACUCUUGACUGAAUUGUUGCAUUUGGUGCACUAUAUUGAUCACUUGUUUCGAACAAUGUAAAUAAGAGCUAAGGGAAUUUUAUGGUUGACACAUUGUGCAGAAAAGCUGUUAAUCUGAUCUGAGAAGUUUUUGUUGGAUCAAUUGUUAAGAUCCUUUUGCUUUAUAGGAAAGACUACUUUACACAUUAAGAAAAAUAUGCAUAUUUUAUUUUUUGAUUAUGAUUUAUUAUGAUUGGCAUGCAAAAGUUUGAUUGUUAAUUUUUAACUUGUGAGAGAGAAUUAGAUUUGGUUGUUGUUUUCAAAGAUCAGAACCCAACGUGCAUAAAAAAUCUUACUAUCUGGUUGUCCUCAUAUGGAGGUUUUUGAAUUGAGUUGAGUGUACUGUAGGAGUCACAUGCUCGUAGGCUUGGAAGCAUUAUUUUCAGAGUGAGUUUGAAGGAAUGAUGGGGUUUUUUUUUGU